GCCAUCGCCGUCGCGUCCUCUCCGAGCCGGCGUUGCAAACCUCCGUGAUCUGCACGUCAUCGCCCUAGCCCUCGUUCGGCGACCCGAUCUGCACGGCGGCGGCGUUGCCCUCGGUUGGCCCCGCGAUCCGCACACCGGCUCCCUCGCCCUCUCUCGAAGGCGACGUCGCUCUCAUGACCCCGCGCCGUAGCCGAUGUCACGUCCUCCUCUGAGACGGCGUUGCAAGCCCUCGAUGGUGACAUCACGCCACCUCCCCCGGUCGCUCGCCAUCGCUGAUGAUCCGCGGCGAUCCCCGCGUUGGCUGAGCGAGCAACAGGCGCCAUCAUCAUCGCCCUCGCUGUGCAUGAGUUGGCUUGGCAGGUUUGUGUGUCAGUACACACUCCGAUCACUAGAAUUCAACUGAUCUUUAUUUGUCUGAUUGGUACAAUAUGCAAUUAUGCAUUGCAACAGGGGAUUUGAAUCCGUGUCUAUUGGAUCAUGAAAAUGAUUUUGGAUAAUCAUAAAUGGUUCAUGUAUGUCUUUUGAGGGUUUAAUUUUAUUUCUUCAAUGCAAAGGUUGCGAAUCUCAAGACCUGCUCACUUUGGUGAAUUGUCGCACCCCCAUAAAGUGCCUAUCAAAGAUGAUUUUCUUGCAGUCCAUCGAAGAGAUGAUAGCCAGUGGCUUGCUUUUGGUCACUGGAGUUCCAUGUGCACUAGCUUUAGGUUCACGGUAUAUUCCUCAACCUACUGAAGAUCUCUCGGCUGCUUAUUGCGAUGACCUCAAGAUUUCUCGGCUGCAUAUUGAAAUGGUUGAAAUUUUCCACUAUAAUUUCUUCAAUUCAGAUUCAGAAUAAAUUACACAUACACAAGAAUCGGUCAGUAACAUUGCAGUCACAGUAAUGCAAGCAAGAUAUGACUGAAAAAGGUAGAAUUUUGACUUUCUAAAAAUGAUAUGCAACUCUUUCGUUUGCGUCUAUACAUUUGUGAACAUCAGAUAGCAAAUUGGAUCCAGCAGCGGCACUAGAGCUCGGGACCGGCACGCUGGCUAGCGAAUUCAGCAGCGGCACUGGAGCUCGGGACCGACACGCUGGCUAGCGAAUCGAAGGGUUUAACCAAUUGCAUAAUCCAUCGAGGACAGUGAAUGCGGCCAGCGGCGCCGGCGGCACUCGAUUUGGGUCCAGGUAUGUCGGCUCCCAAUCUUUUCUCCAUUUGAUCCAUCUGUUCCGGCCCAGGUCGAGUUGAAUUUGUUCUGGCUGUGGCAUCAAAGCAGAUUUGACUGCAGUUAAUUGGUUGUUGCAAAACCUCCGUGGUCCCUUGCUCGCAUUGCACGCAUCUGGCCAACCGGCCCACUUUACUGCACGCAUCUGCAUGCAUGUUCGUUCAAGCAUCUAGCUGCACGCUGCUCUGAUUCUAAUCAAUUAACCAAAUGUGAGCUUCUUUGUGGCAUUGUUUUCUUAAUGAUAUUUUUACACUGAAAUGUGUCUGUAAGUUGACUUCAUUCACAUUGUAAUUGCCUUAUCAUUAUCCUUCCUGCAGAUAUUGCUCAAUACAUAUUUUAUUGAUUUUCCUCGCUAGGAUAUGUAUUGAAGUGUGGCCUCUAUAUUGUGAUUUGAUCCUUUCUUCUUAUUUUUGUUGUAUGUAGUCUUCGACGGUUGCUGCAGUAGCUAUCCUUGCCUGAUUCCCCAUUCAAGCUUAGUUUCCUGUUAACUGUUUUGAAAAUUGUAAAACUCUGAUGAUCCGAAAUGGCAACCGCUCACGUGCAAAGAGGUUGCAAGUUCGUAUCCAUUUCAACAUCCUGAAAGAGAGGGCUGAGUUGGUUUUGUCGGGUUAAAGAGGAAUUUAGCUGACCAUUAGAAGCUGGUCGUAACACAAUAAAGUUGAUCAGGAAAUAACCAAUCAAUCGGCGAUUCCAAGGUGGAGCAGUCGUGGUUAGGAAGGGCAGGAAGAAACACCGGAUGUACAGCAAUUUUCUUGCGUGGACAAGGUGGUGCUAAAGGUGUAUGCAAGCGGUGACUUCUUAAUAAGUUGUGCCUGUCCCGCAAGUCCUGCAAUAGCUGGGCAACUUGCCGAGGUCCAAAAAUUGACAUCGUGAUGCACUCCAAGCACUCGAUCAUGCAUUGGUAAUUUGGAUGGAAUGGGUAAUUAUUCUUAGAGCCAUGAAUAGGCCCAUUUAAUCUUCUAUCCUCGUGUAACUAUAAUAUUUUUCCCAUCCAUUUAAUUGCUGAUCAGACACCUAUUUUUAUAUGUACACAGUGUUUGUGCUUAUGUUUAAGGGAUGCUACAUGGUGUUACAAGUGUUAUUCAUGGUGAAAAAUAAUGCUCAUGGUGAGAAUUUAUUGUGUC